UACGUAGGGCGCAAGCGUUUGUCCGGAAUUAUUGGGCGUAAAGAGCUCGUAGGCGGCCUGUUGCGUCCGCUGUGAAAUCCCGGGGCUCAACCCCGGGCGUGCAGUGGAUACGGGCUGGCUGGAGGCAGGCAGGGGAGAACGGAAUUCCUGGUGUAGCGGUGAAAUGCGCAGAUAUCAGGAGGAACACCGGUGGCGAAGGCGGUUCUCUGGGCCUGUACUGACGCUGGAGGAGCGAAAGCGUGGGGAGCGAACAGG
rnacentral:rRNA from 1 species